AAAUUGAAGAGUUUGAUCAUGGCUCAGAUUGAACGCUGGCGGCAGGCCUAACACAUGCAAGUCGAACGGUAACAGAAAGCAGCUUGCUGUUUCGCUGACGAGUGGCGGACGGGUGAGUAAUGUCUGGGAAACUGCCUGAUGGAGGGGGAUAACUACUGGAAACGGUAGCUAAUACCGCAUAACGUCGCAAGACCAAAGAGGGGGACCUUCGGGCCUCUUGCCAUCGGAUGUGCCCAGAUGGGAUUAGCUUGUUGGUGGGGUAACGGCUCACCAAGGCGACGAUCCCUAGCUGGUCUGAGAGGAUGACCAGCCACACUGGAACUGAGACACGGUCCAGACUCCUACGGGAGGCAGCAGUGGGGAAUAUUGCACAAUGGGCGCAAGCCUGAUGCAGCCAUGCCGCGUGUAUGAAGAAGGCCUUCGGGUUGUAAAGUACUUUCAGCGGGGAGGAAGGGAGUAAAGUUAAUACCUUUGCUCAUUGACGUUACCCGCAGAAGAAGCACCGGCUAACUCCGUGCCAGCAGCCGCGGUAAUACGGAGGGUGCAAGCGUUAAUCGGAAUUACUGGGCGUAAAGCGCACGCAGGCGGUUUGUUAAGUCAGAUGUGAAAUCCCCGGGCUCAACCUGGGAACUGCAUCUGAUACUGGCAAGCUUGAGUCUCGUAGAGGGGGGUAGAAUUCCAGGUGUAGCGGUGAAAUGCGUAGAGAUCUGGAGGAAUACCGGUGGCGAAGGCGGCCCCCUGGACGAAGACUGACGCUCAGGUGCGAAAGCGUGGGGAGCAAACAGGAUUAGAUACCCUGGUAGUCCACGCCGUAAACGAUGUCGACUUGGAGGUUGUGCCCUUGAGGCGUGGCUUCCGGAGCUAACGCGUUAAGUCGACCGCCUGGGGAGUACGGCCGCAAGGUUAAAACUCAAAUGAAUUGACGGGGGCCCGCACAAGCGGUGGAGCAUGUGGUUUAAUUCGAUGCAACGCGAAGAACCUUACCUGGUCUUGACAUCCACAGAACUUUCCAGAGAUGGAUUGGUGCCUUCGGGAACUGUGAGACAGGUGCUGCAUGGCUGUCGUCAGCUCGUGUUGUGAAAUGUUGGGUUAAGUCCCGCAACGAGCGCAACCCUUAUCCUUUGUUGCCAGCGGUCCGGCCGGGAACUCAAAGGAGACUGCCAGUGAUAAACUGGAGGAAGGUGGGGAUGACGUCAAGUCAUCAUGGCCCUUACGACCAGGGCUACACACGUGCUACAAUGGCGCAUACAAAGAGAAGCGACCUCGCGAGAGCAAGCGGACCUCAUAAAGUGCGUCGUAGUCCGGAUUGGAGUCUGCAACUCGACUCCAUGAAGUCGGAAUCGCUAGUAAUCGUGGAUCAGAAUGCCACGGUGAAUACGUUCCCGGGCCUUGUACACACCGCCCGUCACACCAUGGGAGUGGGUUGCAAAAGAAGUAGGUAGCUUAACCUUCGGGAGGGCGCUUACCACUUUGUGAUUCAUGACUGGGGUGAAGUCGUAACAAGGUAACCGUAGGGGAACCUGCGGUUGGAUCACCUCCUUA
rnacentral:rRNA from 1 species